rnacentral:misc_RNA from 1 species
AACGCACAUUGCGCCCCUUGGUAUUCCAUGGGGCAUGCCUGUUCGAGCGUCAUCUACACCCUCAAGCUCUGCUUGGUGUUGGGCGUCUGUCCCGCCUCCGCGCGUGGACUCGCCCCAAAUUCAUUGGCAGCGUCUUUGCCUCCUCUCGCGCAGCACAUUGCGCUUCUCGAGGUGCUUGCAAGCCGCGUCCACGAAGCAUUAUUACCGUCGUUGACCUCGGAUCAGGUAGGGAUACCCGCUGAACUUAA